UACUAACUGUUUGCUCAAAGACAGCACAAUGUUUACUAUUAGGAGAACUACAUGACUCUGCUUUCAAGCUCACUUAACAAAAUUCAUUCCCUGAAAUGCAUAUCCCACAUUAGCCUCGAUCCCAGGCCGAGUUUUCGCUUUUAUAACGGUUAGGCGAACAACUGGGCCUGGUACUAGUUGUCUGCGCAUGCGUCAGUCGUUCGUCAGAUUCUGACGAAUGGAUAUUCUCGUUCACUUUUGUGACAUUUAUAUUCGUGUACUAUCGUGUACUAGAAGUCAGUUCCCGUUUUAUCAUUAUUGGAAUCGAUUGGAAUGGCUCUUAGCUGAAGCUUCUCUCUUCUCUGAAGCUUAUUCUGAAGACUGAACAACAAGGGAAGAGGUAUAAAGCUUUUUCAAGCUUGUUAAGGUCAGAUAUUUUUGUGUGGGCCCUAUGGCCGGCUAUGCUAUCAAGUCUUGUUCAUGUUUGGCAAGAAUGUAGGUAGACUAUAGUUUCAUCAUUAAUAUGGUGGAUCAAGUGAAGAGUGUGAGCUAGAGAACUUGGUGCUGCCAUCAUCAGCUCGUCGACAAUGACACUAUAACCGAGAAAUUUAAUAUGUAUAGAUCUACACGUAUUUAAAAUGUCUACUUCUCUGUACAGGAGCAAUGGCUAAUAUCCAGCUAUCCCAACAGUGCUCCUCUUGGCUAUACUAACGGACGAGACUGGACAGUUUGAGACACAGGACUGGAGUAUGACCUGCUCAUUCGAGCGUUGCUGGGUAGCUCAGAGACAUCAAGAGAAUCUACGUUUUCUCAAGCAAUGAGUUACGAGUUGGGGCCUAGAAUCAGAGAAGUCCAGCAGCCUGCUAAAUCUUUUUGAAACGUAAUUUGAAGGCAUUCAAUCAUCCUGAAGUUGCCCUGGGUCACUGUAAUUGUGCUGCAGCACAACUGGCAACUCCCCAGGCCUUUGUGAAGCAGCUCCCUAUGUGCAUCUUUUGUGUACUCACUCUGUGCAUUUUCUGUGUACAAAUUUCGAUUAUUGAUUUAUUAAAUAUUUUUGCCGACCACAAA